ensembl:lncRNA
CCCGGGUUGUACCUCGGGCCGUCUCUCUUCCCUCACACCUCAGCCCGAACUCGACGCACCCCGGCCCCCCCACACCUCAGGGAAUGCAGCCGGGGUUGGAAGGGACCUGAAACUUGUAGCUCUGCGCAAGACCUCCUGAACUUCAAAUGCUGUCUCCAAGGGCGGUGUCCAAAUGCUUCUCCAACUCCAUCAGUCCGGGCCUGUGACUGUAGUCCCAGGGCUCUUGUUCUGGUACCCAACCAUCCUCUGAUUCUUCUCCAAAGAAAUGAAUAUCCCUUCAGCAAGUCAGAACAAAACCCGAGCCCCUCUUUGUAUUCCGAAUCCCAGAAGCAUUCGAUUCUGCUAAGCAAGGUGAAACAACGCGUUUGUAUCCAUCUCACGGCUCUCCUGCCCGAGUUUUUCCUUCGCGCUGAGCAUCAGCCUGCAAUCUUCGGUAGUUCCGGUAGAGGGCAAUACAGUAAAGCCAUUUAUAGAAGGCUCCUCAAGGCAGUUGCCGUAACUAGGCGCUACAGAAUGCCAUAGGCUUUCUGUAGCGAAAGGGUCGGUGUUCUAAUGCCAGAUAUUUACAAUUAAAUCUGCUUUUGAAC